UGUUGUUUUUGUGCUUUUCAAAUUCCAAGGAUAUCCCUCAUUAAAUUAUAUUAUUUACGUUGUUUUUGUGCUUUCCACAUUUCAAGGUUAUCCCUCAUCAUUUAUGUUGUUAUUGAAGGAUAUCCCUCAUUAAAUUAUAUUAUUUAAGGUUGUCACAGAGGAACAUUGUGCAUUGAAUUAGACUCACAAUAGCUUAGUGGUCAGUAGAAUCACUACUCUUCUUGGCAAAUGAUAUUUGAGAAAAGAAAAAAUCUCAUUGUUUUAGUGUGUAUAUAUAUAUGAACUCUUAACAAUAAGUAAAGUGUUAAGGAGAUAGGUUUUUUCAUAUGCACUUAUGUAGUAUGCUUUUGUUUGUGUGAAGAAGAAUCAUUAAGAGUUCAUAAUAACUGUAUUGAUUUAAAAUAAAAUUAUCCCUUUUAAACUAAAGAUUUUUAUUUGGCUUUUUCACUAUAAAUAGAGGAGAAACAAAUUUUGUGAAAUGCAGCUUUUAGAAUUAUAAUUGCUUUUGCUUGAUCCAAUAAGCUUGAAAAUAAAAACAUGGUGUUUUAAUUGUACUGUAUAUCCGUUCCUUCUACCCAGUAAGUUGGAAAUUUUUCAUUUCAAAUUUUACUGUUUUUUGCGGGAUUAAGUUUUUGUUGCAAACAUAUUUAUUUUGAUAUAAAUAUAUUUUUUUUUUAUUUUUGGAUUGAGGUCAUGUGUGAGUAUGAUAUUGUUAUCUUUCACUAUUGUUGACCUUUGCCCGAUGCUUGAUUUGGAUUUGUUUUUAGAUUGUGCUCUAUCUUUAUUGUUUAUUUGUUUAUUUGUUUUCAUUUUACUCUCAAAAUCUAUGUAAGAUAAGAAGGCAAACUAGGAUGUGAAGAAAAUAUACAUGAUUUCUUUUCACUCAUCAAUUUAACAUUUUUACUCUAGAAUAUAUUUGCUACAAAGGUCAUAAUUUCUUAUAUGAUUGUAGGCAUUAUUUUUCUUACAUAAUUUUUUAUGGUCAAAGAAAAUAUACAGAGAUAGUGAUCAAUGAUGAAUUGCUUUAUAUUAUGGCUGUUUCAAAGACAUCAUAGCCAGGCACAAUUUGCAGAAGUAUUGUAUGGUGAUUUGACAUGGUAUAAGAUUUUAAUCAUUACAUGGAUUAUUGCUGAUUUUAGAGGAUUAUUUGAUACAGUACAUACAAACUCUGGAGGGCAGGGAGAAAAAAUUAUCUGCCUGUAAGGAUCUUGGAGCUGAUGUUGCCAUCAAUUAUAAGACAGAGACUCUGUUGCACGAGUGAAGGAAGAAAUAGAAAAGAAAGGUUUUGAUGUCAUAUGGAUCAAAUUGUGGGAUUGUACCAUCAGCGAAACCUCGACAACUUAAACUUUGAUGGAAGGCUUUUCCUCAUUAGCUUAAUGGGUGGAGCUAUAGCAGAAGUAAAUAUAAACAGUAUGCUCAAUAGGCACCUCACAACUCAGCAAAUGGAUGGUGAAACAGCAGUGCAUAUCAGAGGUUGCCUUUGCCCGUGUGUGGUGGAAAAUAGUUACUCUUUCAAAUGAUGUCGCAAGGGAAUGCCACUGCUCUUAUUACUCCAUGAUAACUGAUACUCAUUUUAUUGUGCCUGCUGAUAAAUUUCAGUUUUUAGGGAAUUCUUCCAAGUUUAUUACAACUUAGGCACUCAUAUCAGUACCACUUGCACUUUUCACUAUGAAUGCGCAUUUUUAGUCCUUUUAUAUGAGAUCUUAUUUGAUGUU